CUUACCGACUUCUCCUUGAAUUCCGAUACUUCCUUGAAUGAUUUCGUCGAGUUCCGGGAUGUAGAGACCGGGCGGUCCAGCCGCUCCUUGUCGUCCCGGAUAACCGAGGUUUCCGGGCUCUCCUCGUGCACCCUGAAGGAUAAGCGUGACACGCACCGGAAGUCCGUCGAUUCCAGCGUCACCUUGGGAUCCCUUCGUACCGAGGGAAUUUAUCCCACCCUCGCCGGGUUCUCCGGGGAAUCCUUGCUCGCCGUCGAGACCUACGGGACCUCGACCGCCCCUCGUACCCGGCAUUCCCGGAGAUCCGGCUCUUCCAUCGGUUCCGUUGCAUCCGUCGAGCCCGUCUGGACCUCUCACACCUGGAGCACCGGGUCGUCCC
rnacentral:misc_RNA from 1 species